GCUUCCUCCCUCAACUCCGGUUGCUGCAGAGGGGGACUGAGGUGCUGCAUUUGCAGCACUCCUGCGCAACUAGAGCAUUAAAAAAAAAAAAAGCUUGCAGCAGUGUGGGUAGUGUGGAAACUGCCUUUGGGACCCUGUGCAGUUGGUGGACCACUAGCAUAACAUGUAAUUUGGCCCUGAGGACGAUUGAUACCAACAGCGACCUCAAGGCUGUUUAUAAACUUAAAAACUGUCAGGAGAUAUUUUCUGUGAGACAGUGCAAAAUGCAAGUCACUGCAGCAAUCAGUGAGACUGACAACAGGUGGACCUGAUCAGCAAACCAUAACAGGGUCAAGUGAGCUGGCUAGACGCGAUUGGUCAGGGCCAGUAUAUUACAGAAGCCCAAGCAAGAGGCAUUUGUCCACAGUGGUCCACCCGGCUGCUGUGAUCUAUGUGCCUAUUUGACUGUAUCCAUGUGUUUCUGGACUGACUAAGGACUGUAUGUCAUGUGAGUGUUUUCUUAA